rnacentral:rRNA from 1 species
GACGAACGCUGGCGGCGUGCUUAACACAUGCAAGUCGAGCGGUAAGGCCCUUUCGGGGGUACACGAGCGGCGAACGGGUGAGUGACACGUGGGUGACCUGCCCUCAGCUCUGGGAUAAGCCUGGGAAACCGGGUCUAAUACCGGAUAUGACUCCAUGACGCAUGUUGUGGGGUGGAAAGCCUUGUGCGGCUGAGGAUGGGCCCGCGGCCUAUCAGCUUGUUGGUGGGGUGANGGCCUACCAAGGCGACGACGGGUAGCCGGCCUGAGAGGGCGACCGGCCACACUGGGACUGAGACACGGCCCAGACUCCUACGGGAGGCAGCAGUGGGGAAUCUUGCGCAAUGGGCGAAAGCCUGACGCAGCGACGCCGCGUGAGGGAUGACGGCCU